AUGAAGACUGAUGAAAAAGGAAUUGAUGAAGAAAGUUGUUGAAAAAGGAAUUUCUGAUACAGGUGAAAAUAACAGCACCAGAUUCUGCAAGGUCUCCGUAGUCAAGAUUCCUAUGUAACCAAACUCCUUAAGUAGGCAUCUUGUACAUGUUAAGAUUGGAAGGCCCGAGAGCCUUCGUGCUGAAGAUCCACCCAUCCUUGAAGGAACAGGAAAUUCCUAUGCCUUGUCAACUGCACCAGAGCACAGAGAAAAAGAUGGAAAGAUUCUUAGUACAUCCUCUGAGAUCCCCGUACCCUGAUGCCAGUAGCGAAGCACAAGACAGCUGCCAAAU
rnacentral:lncRNA from 1 species